CACCGGUAAUAAGCUCCAAUUACUCGUGAACUAUACAUGCCAAUGUCUUGAACCAUGAUAACUGUCUCAUGAUAAAUGUCUUAUACCAUGAUACAUGUCUCAAAUUACCCGUACAGUGAUCAUCACCUCAUGAUAACAUGCCAUUGUGUAACCUUGAACCAUGCAUAUGAUAUGCCCAACUUAAUUGAUUUAUUUGAAUUGUUAGAGUGUCUUGGAAUCUCACUGGGCUGUGUAGCUCAUCCCACGUUGUGGUUUUCUUUUACAGGGUUCGAGACCAAAGGUACUCGUGUGUAGUACUAGAUUGUUUUCUUUUGAAGAUUUUAAGUUAUAUUAUAACGGAUGGCUAUUGUACCCCUUUUUCGUUGGGUUGUAUUUAAGCUUGGAAAGCUACAUGAUUGUAAGUGUGAGAUAUUUGAAGUACUUUAAUUAUGUAUUGAAGUUACUUAAAGUAUUUCGGGCUUUUGAAUGAUGGAUUGUAGUGAGUCCUGGCGAGAGUUGGGCAGGCGUCCCGCGGAUACCCUUUGGUUCGCCUUAGGGAGAAGUGGGGGCGUCACAGUUGGUAUCAGAGCUUAGGUUUCAGAUCUUUAUAGUGUAUCCUAGGCUUAAAUGUUUAGGAUGCCGGACUGUGGGACUGGUUUGAAAGUUAAAUGAUUGCUUGUAGCGAUGAAAUUUAGAGCCACUUCGCGUGGUCUCUACAAAGGAGCAAGAUAGGACCAAGUGGUGUUAUGGUCCUUACUGUGUGAUUGAGUAAAGGCUUAAGUGCCAUUCUAGAAAUGUAAGCUGUGAAUCAUGAAUGUUAUAAGUUGUAAAACCUUUAUCUUGAUAAUUGGAGGGAAUUUGAUAUGUAUGUUGGGUAGGAAUCUCGAAUGUGGUGAUUUACUCUUGGGACCGGCCGGCUUGAGUUGUGAAUUACCUUAUUUCGGAUUCUUGUACCCGAGUACUUGAGGGUGGAAAACAACCCUAAGGGGCUUGAUAUCUCCAUUUGUGGGGAAUAGGAAUGAAUUAAUAUUUCAUGAGAAUGGUUAUAGGAAACCACUAAUUGUUUGGUUGGGAUGGCAUAAUGAUUAAGAACGAGAGAUGGAAAAUAUCGUAACCCAAAAGAUCAUUGUGGUGAGAUUGAAAUCGAGCAUGUUAAGGGACGAGAAUCGUCUAGUUCCAAUUAAUCUAGUGGAUCCCUACUUGUGAUCUUUCAUAGUGAGACGAUGGGAGUAGAACUUAAGAGUUUGCGCCUUGGAGAUGAAUGUACUUGUGAUAAUCACUUGUUUAUUUUUGUUAUUGACUUUGACUUGGCAUGAACUUUGCUUGGCCAUAACUUGUUUUAUGAUUUAAUGAACUCUAGUUUGUGUUUACUUGCAUAGUGAUAAUGAUAUUUGUAUAUGUGAUUUCUUUUCCUUUAAAGGUUGUUACUGGCAUAUGUGUGUAGUUCGACUAUGGCUUAGUGUGAGAUUUAUACGUAUUUGUAUAGACUAGCUGUGAAUAUGGAAACUAGAGGACAACGAAAGGGACGUCAACCUAGACAACCCCGAAAUGAAAGAGUAGAUAAUGGAUCUGAUAUUGACCAAAAUACUGAGCUAAGUGCUGGGAGAGGAAAUGACCAAAUGGGACAAGUUUUAACUCGCAUGACGGAUAUCCUAGAGCUCUUAGUAGCUCAACAAGGUCAAGGUGUUGGACAAGGAAACCAACGUGGAAACCAAGAAAUAGGGGAGGAUCGAGCUUUAGAGCGGUUUCAGAAAUUUUUCCCGCCCAAGUUUGCUGGAGGAUCUGAUCCAGAGGUGGCUGAGAAUUGGUUAGAGAAUAUAAGAAAUAUAUUCGAUGCCUUGGAUUACACAGAGGAGAGACAAGUCACAUUUGCUGUAUUUCAACUUGAAGGAGCAGCCCGAGCCUGGUGGAAUGUUAUAAGGAACAAGUGGGAAAAAGAUCAAACCCUAAGGACUUGGGUAAACUUUGUACGUGAAUUUAAUGAGAAGUUUCUUCCUCCACUUGUCCAAGAAAAGAGAGAAGAUGAUUUUAUAAAGCUUCGUCAAGGAACUUUGAGCGUAGCUGAGUAUGAAACAUGCUUUACGAAGUUAUAUGUAUAUGCCCCAGAAUUGGUGGCUACUGAACGGAAGAAAAUAAGACGGUUUAUCCAAGGAUUAGAUUUGGAAAUCCAAGAUGCCCUUGCCGCAGCACAGGUUGAAACAUUUAGUGACGCUCUCGAAAAAACGCAAAGGGUAGAAAGUACAAAAUCUCAACUGAGGGCUUUUCAAGCAAGGAAAAGAGAUGCAUAUGACAGUACAUUAGGAGAAAAUGGACCACCACCCAAAGUUAGAAAAGAAGUGGAUGGAGUAGGACUGUUACUUCCUGCACCACUCAUGAUAAAGGAACCAAAAGGAACCAUGUCGCGAGGGACUCCAGUAGGACAGACACGAUCAAAGAAAACCUCGCAAGCAAGUCAGGUCGCAAUACCUCGUCCGACUUGUGGAUAUUGUGGAAGGACGAAUCACACUGAAGAAAACUGUUGGCUAAAGGGACGAAAGUGUAUGGGGUGUGGGAGUACCAACCAUAAAGUUCAUGACUGCCCAAUGAGGUAUCCACGACAAGGAAAUGGAACUGUCCCUCGACAAGUCAAUGGAAGGAGAAACCGAUCAGUGGCGUCUGAAAGAACGCAUGACAGGAACACACCACAUGGUUCAGAGCUGUUUGAGAUUACAGAAGGUAUGAAUUUCGAUGAUGAAAUUCUUUUAAGGAGGGGAGGUUGUGAGGACUCGCAAAAUUUACAUAUUUAAUCUCCUAUUUCUAGCUUAUUUAAUUAUUUAUUUGGCCUUUUAUUCCGAAUAUUAUUUUCUAAACUCUUGGGCCCUAAUUACAUGAAAAUAUAGUUUCAUUAUAUUUUUAAAGUGACUUGUAUCGAAAAGAAAUUUCCGGGAGCUCGUUUAGUGAAGAUAGUGAACACGUCUUUGGAAAUCUUGACCGAUUGAGAGCACAAUAAGUUUGGAAUAUUGGAGAUUUGUAUAAUAGACCUAAAUUAGGUAUUUUAAUGAUUAAAUACUCAAGUGAUAGUUAUUAGUACUAUCGAUAUAAGAAUUUCUCGGAAGUUUCGCGUUAUCGCGCUUAAAUUGGAGAUACGCGUUUUCACACGCGCGAUUUAAAUUGAGGAACUUUAGACCCUUAUUUUAGGACAAUUAAGAGUGAAUAAUAUUUAUAUGAAUAUAAGUGCAUUAGAGGUUUAGUGUACUAGUGAAACAAACGUAAGAGGAAUCGAGCCCGAAUCGCGCCAAACGCACCCUAAUGUGAGUUGACUAAUGGGUGAUUUGUGGCCAUAAGUUAGUAUCUUCUCUUGGAAGCUAAAAUCUGAUCACUCUCUCUCUCUCUUGAGCUCCAAACAGCCGGCCAGCUUUCUCUCUCUCUCCACCUCCAAGUUUCAAAAUUUCUUCUCACAAAAACCUCACCAAUAUUCAUCCAAAUCCUACCAAAUUUCAUACACACUUAGAUCCACUCUUGGACACCAUUUUGAGCUGCAACAAGGGUGCUGGAAAUCACGGUUUCUUGGAGCAUUUUGAGGGCCAAAAAUUCUGAUCUAGUAUAUUAAGAAGGUAUAACAUGAUCCAUCACCUUAAACUUGAUUUAUGGUGGUAGAUAUGCAUCUUUAAGCACUUGCAUGUAAGUAGAUGACUUGGUAUUGUUGGAAAAAUGUGAAAGUGGGCUCUAUGAACUCCCACUCUUGGGUUGUUGCCGAUUUGAUGAUUGAUGAUGGAUAUAUUGUUGGUUUAGUGGUUAAAAUGAUGGAUUAAUGGUGUGUAAUUAAUAGAAACUUCAUUGGGUGCAAGAAGCAAAAGUUUCCGAUUUUACCCCUGCCUUGUCCGACCACUCAUGUGCAAAAUUUUGAUGUUCUAAUGGCUUAAUUACGUUGUUUACAUGUUAUAUUGGUUGUGUACAAAAUUUCAUUGAAAAAUAACAUGAUUUGGUUGGUCAAAUGAGUUGAUUUCCAAAGUUAGGAAAACUGGAAAAUGAAUCCCGUAUUGCCCAGGCAGUCAUUUUGUAUCGGCCAUAACUCUUUGCUCCGAUGUCGAAAUCAAGUGCCGUUUGUGGAAUUGGAAACUAGACAUUUCCAGCUUUCCAUUGGUACCAAUUUCACGUUCUGGUUCCACUUGAGUGAAUCACACCAUUCGAUUGAAAAUCACUGUCCUGUUUCGUUUCUCUCCAGGAGACAGGACAGGACUUGUAUCUUGAUGCUAAAAAAGGAGCUGUUUGUGGAUAGAAUUUGAAAAUGGUUUCUUCUGAUAAAAUUCAUAUUUAUGAGAGAGCUUUCCAACACCAUCAACCACGCCCAAUUCCAAGUUGAAUUGAGUGAGUUGUGGCCAAAGUUCGAAACUGCUACAGUGAUAGAAUUUUCCACUUGGACAGAUUUGUAACUAACAAUGAUUUGGGACUUGUUGUUUUGGAAACUUUGAUGUCCAACAUCUACCAAACUUUAUAUUAGAUGUUUCUUGGAAUUUGUUUCACAAAUAAACCAGAUUUGGAUUGGUUGCUUUGGUCAAAAUGUUUAGAAAAGGAAAGAAGAGCUAAAAGACAGUUUACAUUGGGGAAAUUUCUUGAACUUUGAUGGUUUAGUUAACUACCUUCCCAUGUGAAUUUUUAAAUGAAAUUUGAUAGAAGAGUAAUCCUCAUAUGGAGGUUUAAUUGUACCAAAUUUGGUAAUAUUCUAAGACCAUUUUGAUAUGCAAAUGAUGUCACAAAAUUCGCUCAUCGAAUCUGGAAAACUUUUCGUUUUCUCUUAGCCAAAUGGUCAAAUCUAAUUUGGGGAGUUUUAUUUCGAAAAUUUGGAUGUCAAUGGUCUUUAAAUUGCUCAGUAGAUGUUUAUGAACUCUUGGUUUCAAUAAUGGAGAGAUUUGGAACUGAUUUCAUGGUACAAAAAGUUUGUAAACAAAAGAAAAGUGAGAAGGUAGUUUAGCCUUGAAACUCUUCAUAAACUUUGGUUGUUUAAUUGACUACCUUACCGUGAGAGUUUUUGUAUGAAACUUGGUAGAAAUAUUGUUCACACAUGGAAGAUUUCGUGUACCAAGUUUGAUGUAUUUCCAAUGCCAACUCGAUGACCAAAUGAUACUUCGAAUCUAGUCUUCAAACCUGGAAAAUAGCCCAACAGUCUUAACUUUUUCAGCAACUUGGAGCUACUAUAGCUUGAUGCUCAAAACUCCGAUUCUCGUUCCGCUUGUUCUGUUUUAAACCUUGAUUGUAACUCUAAUUGAGUUACAAAUUUUGGAGGCUGAUUUACAACGUGUGAAUUUUACCGAAUUUUCAAAGUUACCCAAAAACCAAUCUUGAAACUGUCUUGGUAUUCUAAAGCAAUAACUUUGAGCCAACUUUUGAAUGUCAUCCAUUUGGAAUCAUGGAAAAGUAUAUUCUAAGAAAUUUUAGUACUUUUGAAGAGGUUUCCAAUGGUAUUAAGUUUUCCAAUUUUGGAUCUAUAUAAUGCAAGAUAUAAUUUUUCUAAAAUCGAUACCCAAAGCUGAAAUUUGUCAAAUUCUUAGAAAAUAAGAUUUUUGAAACUUGCCUUCUUUUCUCGAUAUCGAUUGAACAUUUUGAACUCGAUUUCAUGAAAAAUGCUAGUCUUUCUCUUUAGAGUUUAAAACUUCACUCUUGAGCCUCGAUUAUGAAUAAUUAAGAUCCAAUUCAUGAAUUCUCUUUAGAUUGUACAACUUUCUUUGAUAAGUAGGGGUUCUAAGUGAUAGUGUAUAAUAGUUGGUGGUUAAUUGCUCAGGCGCUCAAGAAAACCUUCAAGAGAAACUCGAAGUGGACGCCCAAACGCUUGUUUGAGAACUACUCGCUUGUUUUGACUAGGUGAAUGUUCCAUAUAGGAAUACGUAAUUGAAUAAGUCUAGGACAUGCUUAUUUCAUGAUUAUUAAGUGUUAAGUGCUAUGUGUUGAGUAUUUACCAUACUCAUGCCUAUUUAAGGAAUGUAUACUUGCAUUGUAUAUCUACAUGAAUUGGUUAAAUGAUUAACCAUAUCAAAUGACCAUAUGAACUCGAUACAUGCUUAACUUGCUAGAU
rnacentral:lncRNA from 1 species